rnacentral:misc_RNA from 1 species
GUGAAUUGAAUAUGUUAGCGGACCUCUUCGGAGUCCCUAGCAUCAAAUCAUAUCCAUAACACCUGUGAACUGUAAGGCUGUCUUGAAAAACGAAAGUGAUUAGAGCGCCUGCCCAUUUUAUACAAACAUUAAAGUAACAAAACGUAGUCUUAUUAUAAUCUAAUA